rnacentral:rRNA from 1 species
AUUGAACGCUGGCGGCAGGCCUAACACAUGCCAGUCGAGCGGAUGAAGGGAGCUUGCUCCUGGAUUCAGCGGCGGACGGGUGAGUAAUGCCUAGGAAUCUGCCUGGUAGUGGGGGAUAACGUCCGGAAACGGGCGCUAAUACCGCAUACGUCCUGAGGGAGAAAGUGGGGGAUCUUCGGACCUCACGCUAUCAGAUGAGCCUAGGUCGGAUUAGCUAGUUGGUGGGGUAAAGGCCUACCAAGGCGACGAUCCGUAACUGGUCUGAGAGGAUGAUCAGUCACACUGGAACUGAGACACGGUCCAGACUCCUACGGGAGGCAGCAGUGGGGAAUAUUGGACAAUGAGCGAAAGCCUGAUCCAGCCAUGCCGCGUGUGUGAAGAAGGUCUUCGGAUUGUAAAGCACUUUAAGUUGGGAGGAAGGGCAGUAAGUUAAUACCUUGCUGUUUUGACGUUACCAACAGAAUAAGCACCGGCUAACUUCGUG